GCGUAGGAAUCUACCUUAUAGUGGGGGACAACCCGAGGAAGCUCGGGCUAAUACCGCAUAAUCUCUACGGAGCAAAGCAGGGGACCUUUCGGGGCCUUGCGCUAAAAGAUGAGCCUGCGUUGGAUUAGCUUGUUGGUGGGGUAAAGGCCUACCAAGGCGACGAUCCAUAGCUGGUCUGAGAGGACGAUCAGCCACACUGGGACUGAGACACGGCCCAGACUCCUACGGGAGGCAGCAGUGGGGAAUAUUGGACAAUGGGCGAAAGCCUGAUCCAGCAAUGCCGCGUGUGUGAAGAAGGCC
rnacentral:rRNA from 1 species